rnacentral:rRNA from 1 species
GACGAACGCUGGCGGCGUGCCUAAUACAUGCAAGUAGAACGCUGAAGAGAGGAGCUUGCUCUUCUUGGAUGAGUUGCGAACGGGUGAGUAACGCGUAGGUAACCUGCCUUGUAGCGGGGGAUAACUAUUGGAAACGAUAGCUAAUACCGCAUAACAAUGGAUGACACAUGUCAUUUAUUUGAAAGGGGCAAUUGCUCCACUACAAGAUGGACCUGCGUUGUAUUAGCUAGUAGGUGAGGUAAUGGCUCACCUAGGCGACGAUACAUAGCCGACCUGAGAGGGUGAUCGGCCACACUGGGACUGAGACACGGCCCAGACUCCUACGGGAGGCAGCAGUAGGGAAUCCUCGGCAAUGGGGGCAACCCUGACCGAGCAACGCCGCGUGAGUGAAGAAGGGUUUCGGAUCGUAAAGCUCUGUUGUAAGUCAAGAACGGGUGUGAGAGUGGAAAGUUCACACCGUGACGGUAGCUUACCAGAAAGGGACGGCUAACUACGUG